UGGAGGUUGUGUUUUUGACAGAUGUGAUGUUUAGCUUUCCUAAAUUUAGCACUCAAGAAGGUGAAGGCAAUCAUCUGUUUGUGGAUGUGUACCAAAUACUCUCAAGGACUUAUGUUCCAAUCUUUCUCUAAAUAUCAGAUUGUGAAACAGACAUUUGUGUUUCUUUGUCUGCAAAGCUGAAGGAAAAGAAAUCUUCAAUUCGUGAAAAGUCCCUCUAAAUUUCACCAAAUUGACUAAACAGCUAGGCGCCAGAUGUGUUUCUACAGCAUCCUGGAAAUAUUGAAAGCUAAUUUAUAGACCAGGAUAUUUUGCAAGUGUAAAAAAUGAUCUAACAAAGACUGUUGUCAAAGGAGAUUUUGUAUAGUUGUAAAUCACUGGCCUGUAUUGUUCAACAUGUGCAAAGUAUUUACUCGAAUCUAGCGUUUGGAGUACUUUCCAAUGAGGAAAAAAGUCUGUUACAUUCAAAGUUAAACCAGUCCAAAUUAAGCAAUUGUUGUAAUUAGUAAACUUGGGGAACACAUGUUUAUUUGCUUUAAAGGAACAGGCAGAGUGGCCAAAUGUUGUGGAAAAAUGCCAAAAAGCAAAACAUUCCCACAUUAACGCUAUUAUCGAAUUCAGGUAAUAAAAGCUGUGAUUGAUGAAGAUGUUGGCAGAGCAGCGAAAAGCGUCCCUCGCCAUAUUUACAUACAGUAAAUCACUGCCUGCCGAGUGAAUGAUUUGGCAUUUGUGCCAUCCGCAAACAUUAAUAAGACAUAAAUAAAUAAAGCAAGGGAAGGUGAUUAUGAAUGUCUGCAGGGAUUUAGCAGGAUGGCUCCGACAAAAAUGGUUCCAACAUUUUGUACGAGCUCUCUCGCCAAGCCUCUAUCAGCCUCCCUAAGUCAUAUCAGAUGUUUGGGCUUUAUUGGGACUUGAAAUAGUUAUUAGCCUGAGCACCCACCCUGCUGGAUUUAUCUCCUGCUGAAUAGGGAGUCACACAAUAAUGAGCUAUGCUUAGUGUCAUAUCUGUUCCCUCUAUUCACUGCUUUUCUUCUUUAAAUCAAAACUGCCUCCUUGUGGGAUGAUGACAGACAGGUGAAAUUGGAGUUAAUAAAAGAGGUAAUAUAUCUCAUGAGGAGACUUGUACGCCCCGAAUUCGCUGGUACCAGAAAUAAAAGUUUACAAAGCCAGACUUAUUACAGCUGACCAACUAAAACGUCCUCUUCAGUAGAUUAAAGUAAACCUCCAUAAAACAAUGAACAACACAGCCACUGCAGCUCUGGAUAGAAACCUCGUUGCUGUGGAUGAUUGAGACAGUUUGCUCAGUCUGUGCUGGAAAUCUUCAGCAGGAGGGAUUAUGAGAGGAGGAGGAGCAUUUAUGCCGUCCUCUGCAUGUUUCCUAAAUUACGCUAUGCGGGUCAUUUCCAUAGGGGGGGAAAAGAAGCUUGCGGCGUAUCUAAUUCGCCUAUAAUACAAGUAAAAAGUAGAGAAUCUUCUGCCAAGUAGCAUCUCAUUUUCUGACAUCCUGUUACAGGAUUUGCAAAACUCUGCAUCUCUUGAGCACAUUUUCCAUAAAAUCAAACAUAAAAAUCAAACAAGGUUCUGCACCAAACAGGUCCUUUAAUGAGUUUCCAAUAUGCACAAAGUAUCAAACCAGUCAUGAUGGGAAAUAUCAUAUACAGUUUAUUCAACAUAAAUCUUUUAUUCUUUGUGUUGCUACUUUGAAGAUUGGGAUAAGUUAUGAAUAGAGUCUGUCAUAAAAUGUGCAGUCGUUCAAGUAUCCGUUGUGUAGGUCUGAAUGUAGGUUCAGGUAUCUGUUGUGUAGGUCUGAAUGAAAGCUAAGUGGGGGCUUGGUGAAGACAUCGUAGUGCACAGUCAUAGAUAAGUAUUGAUGCUCGACAUAUCUCUUAUUGUAUUGAACACUAUCUGAAUAAAGCGUGGAGUGCACUGAUUCUAGGUGAAAUAUAUGUAUAUUUAAAUGUAUGCACUCUAUAACAAAGGGAAUAACACAGAAAUGAUGUGAACUCAAUCUUUUUAAACAAUCUCUCUUUGUAGCAACUCUUUGCAGUGAGUAUUUGUACAACAAGGCUGCGUGUGUGAAAACGCCUUCACUCUUUUGUUAGCUAAAGUAAAGCCUCUGACGUGUACGCAUUGCUUUCAUUUUUUUCCUACUUCCUGUCAUCCUGAGGUUGGCACAGGGCCAGAGAAUCAAAUACAAGAAACCUUGGACUCCAUGGAAAUCCCAUUCAUUGGCAACAAUACUAAGAAACCUAGCAUAAAAAGAGAGUGUCUUUUCUUCUCAAGAGGGAACAUUUAGAAAAAAAAAAACACUCUUACUUCUGCAUGGUCAGAAAUAUAAAGUCAUGCUGCUUCGUUUUAACAGUGCAGCAG